UCCUUGCUGGCUUAGCAGUUAAAGCGUCUGCCUGCAAUGCGGGAGACCUGGGUUCAAUCCCUGGGUUGGGAA
rnacentral:tRNA from 1 species